GAUGAACGCUAGCUACAGGCUUAACACAUGCAAGUCGAGGGGCAGCAUGAAAGGAACUUCGGUUCUUUUUGAUGGCGACCGGCGCACGGGUGCGUAACGCGUAUCGAACCUGCCUCAUACUCGGGGAUAGCCUUGCGAAAGUAAGAUUAAUACCCGGCGGUCUCGGAUGGCCGCAUGACUGUCCGAGUGAAGAUUUAUCGGUAUGAGAUGGCGAUGCGUCCCAUUAGCUUGUUGGUGAGGUAAUGGCUCACCAAGGCAUCGAUGGGUAGGGGUUCUGAGAGGAAGGUCCCCCACAUUGGAACUGAGACACGGUCCAA
rnacentral:rRNA from 1 species